UGGCAAUGGGGGAAGGGUGACAUCCGCUAUUGCUUGCAAUGGCAAUUCUAGUUAUUUUUAUUCUUCCACACUUUUUUGUCCAUUCUAUUUCUCGGAAUUGGCUUGAACAAUAUUGAUGGAACUAUACCAUAAUGUAGACCACCACAUUCUAUAGUGCAGUGGGGUAUGGCACCAUCAAGAUGGCUGCCGUUACCAUGGAAACGAAACAAAUGUGAAAAAAUCCAGUUUUUUGUUUUGGUGAACUGUUUUGAUAUGCUUUAAACUCAGAAUCAUUAUAUUUUGAUACAAUGUAGGUGCCGGCCAUAUACAGGUGUUGGAUGAUUUUGGCACUCAUUGGAACUACUAUGUUGCCAUGGAAACUACACCAAAAAUUUCAAAAAUAUCAAAAUGCUCCAAACUUCAUGAAACUUCACAGUAACGAUGAGCAACAUUGGAAGAUGUGGAAUUUGGCGUUGGAAUUUCCAAAAUAUCUGUUGUUACCAUGGAAACAAUGCAAAAAGGUCAAAACUUUGAAUUUUCACAGAACAUUCCAGAACAUCAAUGUUAAAUUUAUUCUAGAGACAUUAAAUGGUAUAUGAUGGUAUAUAUGAUUAUGGAGGGAAAAAUUGCAGCGGGGGUUUGACUUUGGAAUAUUCAAAAUGGCCGCCGUUACCAUGGGAACAGCAAAA
rnacentral:lncRNA from 1 species